AGUUCAGAGCCUGAAAUAAAGGACUAUUUUGAUGUAAUAGAAUUUGUAAAAAUUUUACCUGUGCUA
rnacentral:tRNA from 1 species